rnacentral:rRNA from 1 species
UACGUAGGGGGCAAGCGUUGUCCGGAAUCAUUGGGCGUAAAGAGCGCGUAGGCGGCCCGAUAAGUCCGCUGUGAAAGUCAAGGGCUUAACCCUUGAAUGCCGGUGGAAACUGUCGGGCUAGAGUCCGGAAGAGGCGAGUGGAAUUCCUGGUGUAGCGGUGGAAUGCGCAGAUAUCAGGAGGAACACCAAUAGCGAAGGCAGCUCGCUGGGACGGUACUGACGCUAAGGCGCGAAAGCGUGGGGAGCGAACAGG